AUUUGAGAUUUUACAUGUUUGCUGCCAAUAGCCAUUAAAGUGUCUAAAAUGGAGACACUUUUUUCAAAUGGUCACAAAAUCUUGUACACUUCGAGUUUUUAGCUGAAUUUUUUUGUGCAUGCCAACAAAAAUAAAAGGAUCACCUCUACCAUGUUUGGGGCCAAAAAUCCUUCUGAAAAAAUGUUAAAAAAUUUUGAAAUGCAAAAAGUUUCAAAAAUCGUGAAAAAUAGAAAACG
rnacentral:lncRNA from 1 species